UACGUAGGAUGCAAGCGUUGUCCGGAAUUAUUGGGCGUAAAGAGCGCGCAGGCGGUAUGACAAGUCAGAUGUGAAAGAGGCCGGCUUAACCGGCAAGGGUCAUUUGAAACUGUCAGACUAGAGUGCAGCAGAGGGUAGUGGAAUUCCCGGUGUAGUGGUGAAAUUCGUAGAUAUCGGAGGAACACCAGUGGCGAAGGCGGCUCACUGGUCCAUUACUGACGCUGAGGUG
rnacentral:rRNA from 1 species